UACGUAGGGUGCGAGCGUUAAUCGGAAUUACUGGGCGUAAAGCGUGCGCAGGCGGUGAUGUAAGACCGAUGUGAAAUCCCCGGGCUUAACCUGGGAACUGCAUUGGUGACUGCAUUGCUGGAGUAUGGCAGAGGGGGGUGGAAUUCCACGUGUAGCAGUGAAAUGCGUAGAGAUGUGGAGGAACACCGAUGGCGAAGGCCGCCCCCUGGGCCAAUACUGGCGGUCAUGCACGAAAGCGUGGGGAGCAAACAGG
rnacentral:rRNA from 1 species